rnacentral:rRNA from 1 species
GAUGAACGCUAGCGGCAGGCCUAAUACAUGCAAGUCGAACGGGAUCUGAGGGUAGCUUGCUACCCGAUUUGAGAGUGGCGCACGGGUGCGUAACGCGUGAGCAACCUACCCAUAUCAGGGGGAUAGCCCGGAGAAAUUCGGAUUAACACCGCAUAAGAAUGUAUUAACACAUGUUAAAGCAUUUAAAUAUUUAUAGGAUAUGGAUGGGCUCGCGUGACAUUAGCUAGUUGGUGAGGUAACGGCUCACCAAGGCGACGAUGUCUAGGGGCUCUGAGAGGAGAAUCCCCCACACUGGUACUGAGACACGGACCAGACUCCUACGGGAGGCAGCAGUAAGGAAUAUUGGUCAAUGGGCGAAAGCCUGAACCAGCCAUGCCGCGUGCAGGAUGACUGCCCUAUGGGUUGUAAACUGCUUUUGUCGAGGAAUAAACCUAUCUACGUGUAGCUAGUUGAACGUACUCGAAGAAUAAGGAUCGGCUAACUCCGUGCCAGCCGCCGCGGUAA